rnacentral:rRNA from 1 species
CAGGUACAGCGGGAUGCCAUGGGGCGACCCAGAGCGGAACCCGAAAACCUGUCUCAGUUCGGAUUGGAGUCUGCAACCCGACUCCAUGAAGCUGGAUUCGCUAGUAAUCGCGCAUCAGCCACGGCGCGGUGAAUACGUUCCCGGGCCUUGUACACACCGCCCGUCAAGCCAUGGGAGCCGGGGGUGCCUGAAGGCCGUGACCGCGAGGAGCGGCCUAGGGUAAAACUGGUGACUGGGGCUAAGUCGUAACAAGGUAUC